GGCCGCACAUGUCAUCCCCAUCCUUUGUAAUUUUCUUUCGUGUUCAUCAUGGGAACAAUAUCCCGAUGCAAAUCCUCUCGAUUCGAUCCGUUCGUUUCGCCUCAUGCAAGACCGACUCCAUAUAAAUACCCCCUCCUCCUCAUCCGAUUUUCGCAAAAAUUGGAAGGUUUCGAUCUUGUUUCACCCCGAUCCAAUCUCGCCGGAGUUCCCCGUCGCCUGAAGGAUGUUUCCGCUGCCACCGAAGACGCGUGCGAGAACAACUCCCCGACGCCUUUCGAAUCUCACCGGAAUUCGCCUCGCUCCAGCCGCUCGCCUUCGUCACCACCGCAAGAACUCGACACCACAGACACUACCAUCGCCAUCGGCGAGACGCGCCGGACCCCGUCGUCUUCCUCUCCAACCCCGAAGACCACCAACAUGAGCGCCACGACCACCACCCAAAGUCGCAGCACCGUUGACGGCCGAGUCGCUCGAGCUCUGAGCUCCGUCCCACGGGCCCCUGCCCGACCCCGUUGCCCAGCGCCGCCCGACGCCACGCCGGAGACGCCGCCCCACCCUGCCUUCGUCUGCCUCGCCGGAGUCGCCGCCUGAGAUGACGGCCAUGCUUAUACUUUCUCAGAAUGGCGAAUAGUUUUAUGAAGUUUAUGAAAGCGUUGUUAUCUUCACCAACUAAUACCAGGCAAGUUCACUUUGACCAUGUUUUUCAUACCUAU